rnacentral:rRNA from 1 species
AUUGAACGCUGGCGGCAUGCUUUACACAUGCAAGUCGAACGGUAACAGGCCUUCGGGUGCUGACGAGUGGCGCACGGGUGAGUAAUGCAUCGGAACGUGUCCAGAGGUGGGGGAUAACGCAGCGAAAGCUGUGCUAAUACCGCAUGUGAUCUGUGGAUGAAAGCGGGGGACCAAGCAGCAAUGUUUGGCCUCGCGCCUCUGGAGCGGCCGAUGUCAGAUUAGGUAGUUGGUGGGGUAAAGGCCUACCAAGCCGACGAUCUGUAGCUGGUCUGAGAGGACGACCAGCCACACUGGGACUGAGACACGGCCCAGACUCCUACGGGAGGCAGCAGUGGGGAAUUUUGGACAAUGGGCGCAAGCCUGAUCCAGCAAUGCCGCGUGCGGGAAGAAGGCCUUCGGGUUGUAAACCGCUUUUGUACGGAACGAAAAGGCUCUGGCUAAUACCUGGGGCUGAUGACGGUACCGGAAGAAUAAGCACCGGCUAACUACGUG